GAUCAGCACGAAUGCAAUUACUAGAGGUAUAGCAAUAGCAAGGACCACACCAAUGACAUUUUUGUUCUUUCCUGCAUUGAUAAAUGACCACUUUCAUCUGCAUUUCCAAAUCAACAUGACAUAUUGAUGAUAACAAGACGUGGAGCUGUUGGUUAAGACAUACAUCGCAUUAGUGCAGCUUUGUUGUAUGUUACAAAUGUUUGUGGCAUCUAUGGAAAUUGAGGUCAGUCAUAUUGUGGGAAAGCUUUUAUUAAUAUUUACUCUAUAAACCCUAUGAUUCUUGUCUGUUAGGCAUUGACUAAAGCGUAUCAGGUAAAUGGAUGGAGUUUGGAUCCUUCGUGGUGAAUGUUUGACACACCACAGA
rnacentral:lncRNA from 1 species